AACGCGAAGAACCUUACCUACUCUUGACAUCCACGGAACCUGGUAGAGAUACUGGGGUGCCUUCGGGAACCGUGAGACAGGUGCUGCAUGGCUGUCGUCAGCUCGUGUCGUGAGAUGUUGGGUUAAGUCCCGUAACGAGCGCAACCCUUAUCCUUAGUUGCCAGCCUGUAAUGCGGGGAACUCUAAGGAGACUGCCGGUGACAAGCCGGAGGAAGGUGGGGACGAAGUCAAGUCAUCAUGGCCCUUACGAGUAGGGCUACACGCGUGUUACAAUGGACGGUACAAAGGGCAGCGAACCCGCGAGGGGGAGCAAAUCCAAUCAAAGCCGUUCGUAGUCCGGAUUGGAGUCUGCAACUCGACUCCAUGAAGUUGGAAUCGCUAGUAAUCGUAGAUCAGAACGCUACGGUGAAUACGUUCCCGGGCCUUGUACACACCGGUAUCUC
rnacentral:rRNA from 1 species